rnacentral:rRNA from 1 species
UACCAUGCAGUCGGACGGUAGCACAGAGAGCUUGCUCUUGGGUGACGAGUGGGGGACGGGUGAGUAAUGUCUGGGGAUCUGCCCGAUAGAGGGGGAUAACCACUGGAAACGGUGGCUAAUACCGCAUAACGUCGCAAGACCAAAGAGGGGGACCUUCGGGCCUCUCACUAUCGGAUGAACCCAGAUGGGAUUAGCUAGUAGGCGGGGUAAUGGCCCACCUAGGCGACAAUCCCUAGCUGGUCUGAGAGGAUGACCAGCCACACUGGAACUGAGACACGGUCCACACUCCUACGGGAGGCAGCAGUGGGGAAUAUUGCACAAUGGGCGCAAGCCUGAUGCACCCAUGCCGCGUGUAUGAAAAAAGCCUUCGGGUUGUAAAGUACUUUCACCGGGGAGGAAGGCGGUGAGGUUAAUAACCUCGCCGAUUGACGUUACCCGCAGAAAAAACACCGGCUAACUCCGUGCCAGCAGCCGCGGUAAUACGGAGGGUGCAAGCGUUAAUCGGAAUUACUGGGCGUAAAGCGCACGCACGCGGUCUGUUAAGUCACAUGUGAAAUCCCCGGGCUUAACCUGGGAACUGCAUUUGAAACUGGCAGGCUUGAGUCUUGUAGAGAGGGGUAGAAUUCCAGGUGUAGCGGUGAAAUGCGUAGAGAUCUGGAG